CGCACAUUGCGCCCUCUGGUAUUCCGGGGGGCAUGCCCGUUCGAGCGUCAUUACAACCCUCAAGCUCUGCUUGGUAUUAGGCGUUACCGCGCGGUACGCCUCAAAACCAGUGGCGGCGCCGCCCGGCUCCAAGCGUAGUAAUACUUCUCGCUUAGGGGUCCGGGUGCGCGCCCGCCAGCAAACCCACUUCUCAAGGUUGACCUCGGAUCGGGUAGGGAUACCCGCUGAACUUAA
rnacentral:misc_RNA from 1 species